rnacentral:rRNA from 1 species
GACGAACGCUGGCGGCGUGCCUAAUACAUGCAAGUCGAGCGGACAGAAGGGAGCUUGCUCCCGGAAGUUAGCGGCGGACGGGUGAGUAACACGUGGGCAACCUACCCUGUAGAUCGGGAUAACAUCGAGAAAUCGGUGCUAAUACCGGAUAAUCAUUUGAAGUGCAUGCUUCGAAUGUAAAAGAUGGCUCCGGCUAUCACUACGGGAUGGGCCCGCGGCGCAUUAGCUAGUUGGUAAGGUAAUGGCUUACCAAGGCAACGAUGCGUAGCCGACCUGAGAGGGUGAUCGGCCACACUGGGACUGAGACACGGUCCAGACACCUACGGGUGGCAGCAGUCGAGAAUCUUUCACAAUGGGGGCAAUCCUGAUGGAGCGACGCCGCGUGGAGGAUAAGGUCUUCGGAUUGUAAACUCCUGUCAUGCGAGAACAAGGUACUCAGGCUAAUAACCUGAUUGUUUGAUGGUACCGCAAGAGGAAGAGACGGCUAACUCUGUGCCAGCCGCCGCCGUAAGAC